rnacentral:rRNA from 1 species
UUGACGGGCCCGCACAAGCAGCGGAGCGUGUGGUUUAAUUCGAUGCUACACGAAGAACCUUACCAGGGUUUGACAUGCAAGUGGUAGGAACCGAAAGGCGACCGACCUUCGGGGAGCUUGCACAGGUGCUGCAUGGCUGUCGUCAGCCCGUGUCGUGAGAUGUUCGGUUAAGUCCGCUAACGAGCGCAACCCUCGCUGUGUGUUACAAGUGUCACACGGUACUGCCGGUCUUAAGCCGGAGGAAGGUGGGGAUGACGUCAAGUCAGCAUGGCCUUUAUGUCCUGGGCUACACACACGCUACAAUGGCCAACACAAUAGGUUGCUAAGCCGCGAGGUGGAGCCAAUCCUCAAAGUUGGUCUCAGUUCAGAUUGCAGGCUGCAACCCGCCUGCAUGAAGAUGGAGUUGCUAGUAACCGCAGGUCAGCUAUACUGCGGUGAAUACGUUCCCGGGGCUU